rnacentral:tRNA from 1 species
AGAAAGGUGCGGGAGUGGCUUAACCGGCACGCCUGGAAAGCGUGUGUACCGCAAGGUACCCAGGGUUCGAAUCCCUGUCUUUCUG